rnacentral:misc_RNA from 1 species
GACGAACCGUCCAAACGUUAUUCGGAAUUAUUGGGCUUAAAGGGUGCGUAGGCGGUGCAGUAAGUCGGGUGUGAAAUCCCUCAGCUCAACUGAGGAACUGCGCCCGAUACUGCUGUGCUUGAGGGAGAUAGAGGUGAGCGGAACUGAUGGUGGAGCGGUGAAAUGCGUUGAUAUCAUCAGGAACACCUGUGGCGAAAGCGGCUCACUGGAUCUUUUCUGACGCUGAGGCACGAAAGCUAGGGGAGCGAACAGG